rfam:Brachypodium distachyon strain Bd21 chromosome 2, whole genome shotgun sequence.
UAUAUACUUCCUUUGUCCAACAAAAUAUGUAUUAGGUUUGUCAAAAUUUGGAUGUAUCUAAACAUGACUUGGUGUAUAAAUGCAUUCAAAUUUAGUCAAAGUUGAGAUAUCCUUUGUUGGACGGAGGGAGUACCUC